AGCAGCCGCGGUAAUUCCAGCUCCAAUAGCGUAUAUUAAAGUUGUUGCAGUUAAAAAGCUCGUAGUUGAAUUUCGGGAUCAAUUUAUCGGUCGUGCCUACGGUAUGAACUGGUACAAUUGGUUUCUCCCUUCUGACGAAGCUCGAUGUCAUUAACUUGGUGUCGGGGGGAGUCAGGACUGUUACUUUGAAAAAAUUUAGAGUGUUUAAAGCAGGCCUUGGCUUGAAUACAUUAGCAUGGAAUAAUGAAAUAGGACGUUUGAUCCUAUUUCGUUGGUUUCUAGGAUCGACGUAAUGAUUAAUAGGGAUAGUUGGGGGCAUUAGUAUUCAAUUGUCAGAGGUGAAAUUCUUGGAUUUAUUGAAGACUAACUACUGCGAAAGCAUUUGCCAAGGAUGUUUUCAUUAAUCAAGAACGAAAGUUAGGGGAUCGAAGACGAUCAGAUACCGUCGUAGUCUUAACCAUAAACUAUGCCGACUAGGGAUCGGAUGAUGUUAAUUUUUUAAUGACUCA
rnacentral:rRNA from 1 species